rnacentral:rRNA from 1 species
UGGGGAAUUUUGGACAAUGGGGGCAACCCUGAUCCAGCAAUGCCGCGUGCAGGAAGAAGGCCUUCGGGUUGUAAACUGCUUUUGUACGGAACGAAAAGGCUCUGGUUAAUACCUGGGGCUCAUGACGGUACCGUAAGAAUAAGCACCGGCUAACUACGUGCCAGCAGCCGCGGUAAUACGUAGGGUGCAAGCGUUAAUCGGAAUUACUGGGCGUAAAGCGUGCGCAGGCGGUGCUGUAAGACAGGCGUGAAAUCCCCGGGCUUAACCUGGGAAUUGCGCUUGUGACUGCAGUGCUGGAGUGCGGCAGAGGGGGAUGGAAUUCCGCGUGUAGCAGUGAAAUGCGUAGAUAUGCGGAGGAACACCGAUGGCGAAGGCAAUCCCCUGGGCCUGCACUGACGCUCAUGCACGAAAGCGUGGGGAGCAAACA